GGGGAAUUUUCCGCAAUGGGCGCAAGCCUGACGGAGCAAGACCGCGUGCGGGAGGAAGGCCUAUUGGUCGUAAACCGCUUUUCUCAGGGAAGAUAAUGACGGUACCUGAGGAAUCAGCCUCGGCUAACUCCGUGCCAGCAGCCGCGGUAAAACGGAGGAGGCAAGCGUUAUCCGGAAUGAUUGGGCGUAAAGCGUCCGUAGGUGGCUCGUCAAGUCUGCCGUUAAAGCGUCUGGCUCAACCAGAUACAGGCGGUGGAAACUGAAGAGCUAGAGUACGGUAGGGGUAGAGGGAAUUCCCGGUGUAGCGGUGAAAUGCGUAGAGAUCGGGAAGAACACCAGUGGCGAAAGCGCUCUACUGGGCCUGUACUGACACUGAGGGACGAAAGCUAGGGGAGCGAAUGGGAUUAGAUACCCCAGUAGUCCUAGCCGUAAACGAUGGAUACUAGGUGUGGCCUGUAUCGACCCGGGCCGUACCGGAGCUAACGCGUUAAGUAUCCCGCCUGGGGAGUACGCACGCAAGUGUGAAACUCAAAGGAAUUGACGGGGGCCCGCACAAGCGGUGGAGUAUGUGGUUUAAUUCGAUGCAACGCGAACAACCUUACCAGGGCUUGACAUGUCCGGAAUCUGGGGGAAACCUCGGAGUGCCUUCGGGAACCGGAACACAGGUGGUGCAUGACUGUCGUCAGCUCGUGUCGAGAGAUGUUGGGUUAAGUCCCGCAACGAGCGCAACCCUCGUCCUUAGUUGCCAGCAUGUAAUGAUGGGCACUUUAGGGAGACUGCCGGUGACAAACCGGAGGAAGGUGGGGAUGACGUCAAGUCAGCAUGCCCCUUACGUCCUGGGCGACACACGUACUACAAUGCUUCGGACAGAGGGCAGCCAACUAGCAAUAGCGAGCUAAUCCCGUAAACCGAGGCACAGUUCAGAUCGCAGGCUGCAACUCGCCUGCGUGAAGGCGGAAUCGCUAGUAAUCGCCGGUCAGCAUACGGCGGUGAAUCCGUUCCCGGGCCUUGUACACACCGCCCGUCACACCAUGGAAGUUGGCCACGCCCGAAGUCGUUACCCUAACCAUUCGUGGAGGGGGACGCCGAAGGCAGGGCUGAUGACUGGGGUGAAGUCGUAACAAGGUAGCCGUACCGGAAGGUGUGGCUGGAUCACCUCCUU
rnacentral:rRNA from 1 species